rnacentral:rRNA from 1 species
CCUACGGGAGGCAGCAGUGGGGGAUAUUGCACAAUGGGGGGAACCCUGAUGCAGCGACGCCGCGUGGGUGAAGGAGUAUUUCGGUAUGUAAAGCCCUAUCGGCAGGGAAGAAUUUAGACGGUACCUGACUAAGAAGCCCCGGCUAACUACGUGCCAGCAGCCGCGGUAAUCCGUAGGGGGCAAGCGUUAUCCGGAUUCACUGGGUUGAAAGGGAGCGUAGACGGCCAGGCAAGCCUGGAGUGAAAGCCAGGGUCCCAACCCCGGGACUGUUCUGGGAACUGUCCGGCUGGAGGGCGGGAGGGGCAGGCGGAAUUCCUGGUGUAGCGGUGAAAUGCGUAGAUAGCAGGAGGAACACUGGCGGCGAAGGCGGCCUGCUGGACCGCGACUGACGUUGAGGCUCGAAAGCGUGGGGAGCGAACAGGAUUAGAUACCCCAGUAGUC